CUGUUGUUGCUGUGUUCCCACAGCGUGUUGUGUUUGGGGGAAGCUCUGAAGCGGAGACUCAGUCUGAGGUUAAAGAGCUGUCCAGUCUCUGCUCCAGUCUUCAUGAACUGCCAGCAAAAGUCAACAGAGGCAAAAAAAAGGGAAACACUUCUGAUGUCAGGUGAGUUGAUUUGAACCUACUUUCAUCUCUCUACAUGAUUAGUUAUUAAAGUUAUAUGUAUGUUAUGCUUUUUUUAGUGUUUGCUUCUAAAAAUGACAACAUACAGCAAAGUUCUCUCAGUGACAGUAAAU
ensembl:lncRNA